rnacentral:rRNA from 1 species
CAGUAGCCGCGGUAAUACGUAGGUGGCAAGCGUUGUCCGGAAUUAUUGGGCGUAAAGGGCUCGCAGGCGGUUUCUUAAGUCUGAUGUGAAAGCCCCCGGCUCAACCGGGGAGGGUCAUUGGAAACUGGGAAACUUGAGUGCAGAAGAGGAGAGUGGAAUUCCACGUGUAGCGGUGAAAUGCGUAGAGAUGUGGAGGAACACCAGUGGCGAAGGCGACUCUCUGGUCUGUAACUGACGCUGAGGAGCGAAAGCGUGGGGAGCAAACAGGAUUAGAUACCCCGGUAGUCCCUGUCUCUUAUAC